AACGGACGCAACUAACUGGCAGACACUGCACCUGGGUGGUUCCGGGUCUUUCCACGCUUCGCCUCCACGGCUGCCGACCCUGGGCCCAGCGGAGAGUCGGAAAGGACGCACUGAUCAAGAGCUGAAAUGCAUAAAAGCAGCUGGCAGAGUAGAAGACAUGGGAGAAGGAGCCACCAGUACAACCCUUGGUUCAGACAACAUGGUCAUAAUGAGAGGAGUAAUGGAGGGGCACAGCAGAGCCCACAGGGUUCCAGCCACAGCGAUGACGAGGCCCCCUCGACCUCCAGCACAGCUGGCAGUUCUUCUGUGCCAGAUCUACCAGGUUAUUACUUUGACCCUGAAAAGAAUCGCUACUUCCGCUUGCUCCCUGGGCAUAACAACUGCAACCCCCUCACGAAGGAGAGCAUCCGGCAGAAGGAAGUGGAGAGCAAAAGGCUGCAGCUGCUAGAGGAAGAGGACAGGCGGGGAAAGAAAAUAGCCAGGUUGGGAUUUAAUGCAUCUUCCUUACUACAAAAAAGCAAGCUGGGUUUUCUCAACGUCACCAGUUACUGCCGUUUAGCCCAUGAGCUGCGCGUGAGCUGCAUGCAGAGGGAAAAGGUCCAGAUUCAGAGCUCGGAUCCCUCCGCUUUGGCAAGUGACCGAUUUAACCUGAUACUGGCGGAUACCAACAGUGACCGGCUCUUCACGGUGAACGAUGUCAAAGUCGGGGGCUCCAAGUACGGCAUCAUCAACCUGCAUGGCCUGAAGACCCCCACGCUCAGGGUGCACAUGGAUGAAAACCUCUACUUCACCAGUCGGAAGGUGAAUGCUGUGUGCUGGGCCUCGCUGAAUCACCUGGAUUCCCACAUUCUGCUGUGCCUCAUGGGAAUGGCAGAGACGCCAGGCUGUGCCACCCUGCUCCCGGCAUCACUCUUUGUCAGUAGUCAUCCAGCAGGAGACCGGCCUGGCAUGCUCUGCAGUUUCCGGAUCCCCGGGGCCUGGUCCUGUGCGUGGUCCCUGAACAUCCAGGCAAAUAACUGCUUUAGCACGGGCUUGUCUCGGCGAGUCCUGGUGACCAGCGUGGUGACGGGACACCGGCAGUCAUUUGGGACCAGCAGUGACGUCUUGGCCCAGCAGUUUGCUCUCAUGGCUCCUUUGCUGUUUAAUGGCUGUCGUUCCGGCGAAAUCUUUGCCAUUGAUCUGCGUUGUCGAAAUCAGGGCAAGGGCUGGAAGGCCACCCGCCUGUUCCACGACUCAGCAGUUACCUCUGUGCAAAUCCUCCAGGAAGAGCAAUGCCUGAUGGCGUCUGACAUGGCUGGAACGAUCAAGCUGUGGGACCUGAGGACCACAAAGUGUAUCAGGCAGUACAAAGGGCACGUGAACGAGUAUGCCCACCUGCCCCUGCACGUGCACGAGGAAGAAGGGAUCGUGGUGGCAGUGGGCCAGGACUGCUACACGAGAAUCUGGAGCCUCCACGAUGCCCAACUGCUCAGAACCAUACCCUCCCCACACCCCACUUCCAAAGCCGACAUUCCCAGCGUGGCCUUCUCUUCUCGGCUUGGGGGUUUCCGGGGAGUGCCAGGACUGCUCAUGGCUGUCCAGCAGGACCUUUACUGCUUCUCCUACAACUAAUUCUGCAGGUUGCAGCCUGGAGGGAUGUGGAUGUGACUCAAGGGAGCAAAGGUAGCCCUAUUUUUGCCACAACUGCCACAAUUUCAGUGAGGGCAUUUCAAGCGGGGCUCUGUGUACACAUAUCCCAUCCAUCCAGCCGCUGGGGAAAAGGUGCUACGUUCUAUGUGGAGACACUUCAGUAAAGUUAUCUCAGUUAAGUUGUGGGCUCAAGAAGAUUAAAAGUCCUUUUCAUAAAAGCUGAUAAUUGCACCUCACUGUUGCUAGCCCAGGAUGCUUCACCAGUUAAACUCUCUUUGGUUACCCCCUUGAGUGUUACGCAUCAUCCGUGUCCUGCCAGGACCCUGCUACGACUUAAUGUGCAGAGAGAGAAAUCCAAAAGACAUGAGACUAUGAGGUGACUUCUGGACCCAUCUCUGCUUGCUCCUACCACCUGCCCACCUGCACUCUUGGCUUCAUGUGAAUGAAAGCAGCUGCUGCAAAAGCAAAAUGAACACUGCGUGUGCAGGGCAAGAAAAGAGAACUUUUGGUUAUUUUGACACUGGGUUACCUUCCUUUCUGGUCUGACUAGUGUAAGGAAGAGAGUUUGGAAGACUAUUUGGGAGAGAGAUAGGAAGACAUGCUUCCUUUGUGGUCUAGCAGACUCCCACGCUCAGGGGCGCCCCCAAGUGACAGGACACGAGACGGUGGACAGCAGUUGUUCAACAGGAGCCGAGCAGAAAGCAAAGCAGGGCAGAGAAACGAAGCCAGAGGGACAGGUACAAAGGGAGAAAACAGUCUUUUCCUGGUGUUUCCAUAGGUCCCUAGUAACACCUAGUCUCUCCUCCUGUGAGAGAGGAUUCCUCAGGGAAUAAACCAACUUAUCUACAGGUAAAAUACACCUCUUACUUCGCUUCUGUUCUGAAAGCCACCAGCUACUUUCCCAUCAACUAGAAAGAGGCAGCAAAAUGUACAGAUGAAGUUAAAGGAAAGAGGCGGCACAGUCCAUAUUCCGCAGGAGGAUUCCUUUAUAACGGCAAAUUUAAUAAUACACAGUACUAGAGCAGGGCCUCACUCACAGGCCACAGGAGGCAGAAAGGAAGCAGGUCUGAGAGGGACCAACACAUUCCAGGGCUCACGUCACAGUGACACGCCAAGAAUGACCGCCGCGUACCUCCCUGAAGCUCGGCCCACCCACCAGUUCAGUCAAGAACUAUGUCGCUUUCAAUUCUUCGUUUUUGGCCAUUGACGAUAAAAUCCACCGUGAUGACAGGAUUUCAGCACAACAGUCUCUUUCCAGUCACGAUAGAUAUGGAUGUUUCUUGAGAAACAAAAGUUCAUCUGACUUCUCUUGCCAGAACCGGAGAGAGAAUUUUUUCUUAAUGAUCUGUUGAAAUAUUUACAUAUACUUUAAAAAAACCACUAACAGUCCAUUCUGUGCUCUGUUUCCCUGGAAUAUUUCUCAUGAUCACCCCUCCAAUAACUAGAGGGGUCCUGUGUCUAGGAAUAAAGAAUUAAGACACUUCAAAAUAAGCAAAAACCCUAGUGCAACACUCAGUAGAUGGUGGGCUGAAGGAGUUGGAAGAGGAGGGAAGCAGGUGCUCUAUUUCAAGGCAGGGAAAGCCAAGUGGUCACACAGACGGAAGCAACAACAAGCAGGAAGCACUGCUGGGGAAGGCUUGUCUCCUUCCAUGCUCCCCCCGCACGAGGGCCAUCACGUCACCUGCGCUUGGACUUCUCAGGUCUGAGAACCCUACCCUCCCACCCGCCACCCAUCCGUGACCUGCACGCUAAGCUGGGUGGUCUCUGACCGAAACGGGCCUCGGCAAGGAAUUGGGCUCUGACUCUGGAGGGCCCAGGGAGAUCCCAGCAGGCUAUCCCAGGCAACAGGCACCUGGGACGCUCACCUGCCCCGUCUGGCAGCUGAGGGGCAUGAAGGCUUCAAAGGCUCGGAGAGAGGCAGCAAAAGGUGACUAGCAACGCAGUGGCCUUGGGCCUGGCUCGGUUUUGUGGGGAAGACCUGCUGCCACUGCCACCUGAUCCCUGUGCUGGGGACAGACUGUGCAGUCUUCAAGCCAGCAGCAGCCUGCAUACACUCCACACUCCUUUCAUACGUAUAUACGGGUAUGUAUUAUAUGUUUCUUAUUUUUAACUGAAAUAAAAUGCAAUGGAUUCAG